rnacentral:rRNA from 1 species
GACGAACGCUGGCGGCGUGCUUAACACAUGCAAGUCGAGCGGACAGGCCCUGCUCUUGUGGGGUGGUCGAGUGGCGAGCGGGUGAGAAUAACGCGAGUAUACUGCACUUGUCUUUGUGAUAAAUUUAGGAAACUGGGGAUCAUACCGGAUAGAAGAUCUUGCUGCACGGUGGGGAUUGGAAAGUUUCGGCGGUUUGGGCUGGACUCGAGGCUUCUCCGCUUGUUGGUGGGGUUGUGGCUGACCAGGGCUGUGACGGGUAGCCGGCCUGGGAGGGUGACCGGGCACAUGGGGACUGCGGGACGGCCCAGACGGCUACGGGAGGCAACAGUGGAAAAUAUUGCACAACGAGCGGAAGCCUGAGACAACGACGCCGCGUUCGUGAUGACGUCCUACGAGUUGUAAACCGCUUUCGCCGUAGACGAAGCGUUAUUGACGGUAAUGGGUAAGAAAGCACCGGCUAACUACGUG